rnacentral:rRNA from 1 species
CUUCCAGACUCCUACGGGAGGCAGCAGUGGGGAAUAUUGGGCAAUGGGCGCAAGCCUGACCCAGCAACGCCGCGUGAAGGAAGAAGGCUUUCGGGUUGUAAACUUCUUUUGUCAGGGACAAAGCAAGUGACGGUACCUGACGAAUAAGCCACGGCUAACUACGUGCCAGCAGCCGCGGUAAUACGUAGGUGGCAAGCGUUACCCGGAUUUAUUGGGUGAAAAGGGCGUGUAGGCGGGAAUGCAAGUCAGAGGUGAAACCUAGGGGCUCAACCCAUAGCCUGCAUUUGAAACUGUAUUUCUUGGGUGCUGAAGAGGCAGUCGGAAUUCCGGGUGUAGCGGUGAAAUGCG